AUAGGGGUUUGGCGGCGUGCUUACACAUGCAAGUCGAACGAUGAAGCCCUGCUUGCAGGGUGGAUUAGUGGCGAACGGGUGAGUAACACGUGAGUAACCUGCCCCUGACUCUGGGAUAAGCCCGGGAAACUGGGUCUAAUACCGGAUAUGACUUCCUACUGCAUGGUGGGUUGUUGAAAGAUUUAUCGGUGGGGGAUGGACUCGCGGCCUAUCAGCUUGUUGGUGAGGUAAUGGCUCACCAAGGCGACGACGGGUAGCCGGCCUGAGAGGGUGACCGGCCACACUGGGACUGAGACACGGCCCAGACUCCUACGGGAGGCAGCAGUGGGGAAUAUUGCACAAUGGGCGCAAUUCUUGAUGCAU
rnacentral:rRNA from 1 species